rnacentral:rRNA from 1 species
CGGCGGACGGGUGAGUAACACGUGGGUAACCUGCCUGUAAGACUGGGAUAACUCCGGGAAACCGGAGCUAAUACCGGAUAGUUCCUUGAAACCGCAUGGUUCAAGGAUAGAAAGACGGUUUCGUGCUGUCACUUACAGAUGGACCCGCGGCGCAUUAGCUAGUUGUGGGGUAAUGGCUCACCAAGGCGACGAUCGUAGCCACCUGAGAGGGUGAUCGGCCACACUGGGACUGAGACACGGCCCANACUCCUACGGGAGGCAGCAGUAGGGAAUCUUCCGCAAUGGACGAAAGUCUGACGGAGCAACGCCGCGUGAGUGAUGAAGGUUUUCGGAUCGUAAGCUCUGUUGUUAGGGAAGAACAAGUGCGAGAGUAACUGCUCGCACCUUGACGGUACCUAACCAGAAAGCCACGGCAUAACUACGUGCCAGCAAGCCGCGGUAAAUACGUAGUAGCAAGCGUUGUCCGGAAUUAUUGGGCGUAAAGGGCUCGCAGGCGGUUUUCUUAAGUCUGAUGUGAAAGCCCCCGGCUCAACCGGGGAGGGUCAUUGGAAACUGGGAAACUUGAGUGCAGAAGAGGAGAGUGGAAUUCCACGUGUAGCGGUGAAAUGCGUAGAGAUGUGGAGGAACACCAGUGGCGAAGGCGACUCUCUGGUCUGUAACUGACGCUGAGGAGCGAAAGCGUGGGGAGCGAACAGGAUUAGAUACCCUGGUAGUCCACGCCGUAAUCGAUGAGUGCUAAGUGUUAGGGGGUUUCCGCCCCUUAGUGCUGCAGCUAACGCACUUAAGCACUCCGCCUGGGGAGUACGGUCGCAAGACUGAAACUCAAAGGAAUUGACGGGGGCCCGCACAAGCGGUGGAGCAUGUGGUUUAAUUCGAAGCAACGCGAAGAACCUU